UACGUAGGGUGCAAGCGUUGUCCGGAAUUAUUGGGCGUAAAGAGCUCGUAGGCGGUUUGUCGCGUCUGCUGUGAAAACUCGGGGCUUAACUCCGGGCCUGCAGUGGGUACGGGCAGACUAGAGUGCGGUAGGGGAGACUGGAAUUCCUGGUGUAGCGGUGAAAUGCGCAGAUAUCGGGAGGAACACCUAUGGCGAAGGCAGCUCGCUGGGACGUUACUGACGCUGAGACGCGAAAGCGUGGGGAGCAAACAGG
rnacentral:rRNA from 1 species